UGGAAUUGGAUGAAUUAUGCAGAGCUCUAGCUACGCUAUUGCAAGAUCCUUUUGGUUUCUUCAACGUUUCCGUGAAGUCUACGCUUCUACUGAGACAGUUAGGUUGGAGAGACGACCUAGGCCAUUGAUCAGAGCAGUGGCGGACCCAGGAAUAUUUUUUACCUGGGUCAUGGCUCAAAUUCAUUCAUACAUUAAGCCCAAAUAAAGUAAAUAAUGAUUUUAUAUCAAAAGAAAAAAAAGACUAUAAUGUGUACAACCUGAAGUUUGAACUCGUGAAUGAGGGUUCAUUGGGUUCAAUCUGUAACCAACUGAGCCAGUAUCCAAUACUAAAGUAGGCUUACAAAUUAAAAAUCUAUUUUUAACCUGUGUCAAUUGCAACCCCAUUCUUCUAUGUAGGUCCGCCUCUGGAUCAGAGAGCUUCGACUUCGGCGGUGGAACAGUAGAUAUCAGUAGGAUAGAUAAUCCACACUAGGAACUAACCGCUAGUUCUAAGUAUGGUGAAUGCUAGCCUAGAAGGAGAUUGUAGAUGAGAAUAAUCACUUCGAAGGUACUAGAUUCUUGAGAGAGAUAACACAGAGGGUUUUAAGGAUUUUGGAAAUGAUAUUAUUUCUGAUAACGUUCUUCUGCUACUGCAGGGGUACAAAUACUAAAUGACAAAGAGCAGCUAACGGUCUAACAAUGACUUGUCUCAACAGCUGAAAAGUUAAAGUAAAAACUAAAACAGAAAUGAGAUAAGCAUGUUGCUUGGAUAUUCCUUUGUGAUAAGGAUGUCAUGGAUGACUAAUCCUAUGACAAUACUCCCUCCUUCAGAUCAACCUUGUCCUCAAGGAUUAAAAAGAGGAUACUUGGCGGUAAAGUCUUUGUAGAACUCCCAAGUGGCCGUUGCAGGUGAUUCUCCUUUCCACUGAACCAGAAUCCUUGUGACUGCGGUGUUACGUCGCUUAACAGUCUCUGUCUGCAGGAUAGCCUCUGGUUCUUUUGAAUUGCCAAGGUCCAGCCAGUACUGAGGGAUUUCAGGGUCAGCGGUGGGUGGAGUUGGGCAGAGCUUGAGCUGACUGACAUGGAAAGUGUCGUGUAUUGCAGCCUCAGGUGGAAGUGAGAGCUUGUAAGCAACCGAACCCACACGGUCAAUGACACGAAAAGGUCCAUAGAAGCGAGGAGAGAGCUUAUGUGGAACCUUUCUGUUCUUCAAUGUGUUUUGGCGGUACGGUUGAAGCUUGAGAUACACAUAGUCACCUAUCAGGAACUCUCGAGGAGAGCGAUGCGCAUCAGCGUACUGCUUCAUUCUGUUCUGAGCACGGAGAAGGUGGAACUUCAACAUACUGAUCACUUCUUCACGUUUCUGUAAGCUGCGGUCUAUGAUAGGGGAGGAGCUUUCGCCGGGGAGAUAGGGGAGGUGUAGAGGUGGGGGUUGGCCGUAGAUUAUCUCGUAGGGAGUUGAUCGUAUAGCGGAGUGGAAAGUGGUGUUGUACCACCAUUCAGCAAGGCUAAGCCACUUGCUCCAUGAAGAGGGUGUCUCAGCGGUCAUGCAGCGAAGGUAGGUUUCCAGAGUCUUGUUUGUUACCUCAGUCUGGCCGUCUGUUUGAGGGUGAUAAGCUGUGGAGCGUUUGAGAUCAACACCAUGUACUCUGAAAAGCUCUUUCCAAAUCUCACUCAUGAAUGUUGGGUCGCGAUCACUGACUACAUCCUUAGGCAUCCCGUGGAGCUUAAAGAUGUUGUCCAAGUAUGCCUGAGCCACUGUUAGAGCAGUGUAAGGGUGGGAUAGAGCAAUGAAAUGAGCGUUCUUGCUGAGCCUGUCAACGACUACCAGGAUACAGUGCUUGCCAUAAGAGGGUGGGAGUCCCUCGAUGAAGUCAAGACUGAUAGAUUCCCAUACUCCUGCUGGGAUAGGGAGAGGCUGUAGGAGGCCCGGACUAGCCGCUAAGUCAUAUUUAUUCUUUUGGCAGACAGAGCAGUUGCGGACGUAGUUCUGAACCUCAGCGUUCAUCUUUGGCCAGUAAAACAGAGAUUUGAUGCGGUUCAAAGUUGCAUCACGACCAGAGUGACCUCCAACGGCGGAAUCAUGAAGCCAUUUGAAGAUAUGCAUCUUGAUGGUAUGAUCAUUUCCCACUACUAGCUUCCCUUUUCUUCGUAACUCAUUGUUGCAGAACGUGAACUGAGGGUGGGAUGAUUUGUCCCUCUGUAGGUCUGAGAUUAUCUUCUGGAGAUGUGAGUCAGUUUCCCAGAGGAGCUUCAGAGAGUCGUAAAACCCAGUGUGAGCCUGAGAAAGGUUCAUAGAUAGCAGCUCAGAACCAGAGACUCGAGAUAGAGCGUCAGCCACGACGUUUUCUUUCCCUUGUUUGUAGCGUAUUUCGAAGCUAUAACCCAUCAGCUUCGAUAUCCACAUAUGUUGAAAGGGUGUUGUGAUCUUCUGCUCCAUAAGGUAUUUGAGACUGCGUUGAUCAGUGUUGAUGAUGAACGGUCUGUGAGCGAGAUAAGCAUGCCAAGACUGGACCGCAUGGACAACAGCCAACAAUUCUUUCUCGUAGACUGAUAGGUUCUGAUGUUUCGGACCCAAGGAGCGACUGAUGAAGCAGAUAGGGUGGGAGUUUUGCAUUAAAACUGCACCAAUACCCGUGUUGGAAGCAUCUGUUUCCACCGUGAAAGUCUGAUCAAAGUCAGGGAGGGCAAGCACUGGAGUAGAGCCUAGCGCUUUCUUCAGGUGGAGGAAGGAUUCAGCUGCCAGUGAAGACCAGAGGAAAUUUUCCUUCUUCAAGAGGUGGCUGAGAGGUUUUGCCACAGAGCUAUAACCUUUGAUGAAGCGUCUGUAGUAGUUUGCCAGUCCCAAGAAACUCCGUAGUUGCUUCUGUGUCGUAGGGACUGGCCAUUUACUGAUCACUUCGAUCUUUUUAGGAUCGGUACUGAUACCCUCUGCUGAGAUGAAGUGGCCGAGGUAUUCGAUCCUUGUAGCUCCAAAAGUGCAUUUGGAGAGCUUGAGGUAUAGCUGUUGAUUCUUUAGGAGCUUGAAGACUUCAGAGAGAUGCUCCAGGUGUUCUUUCCAAGUCUUGCUGUAAACGAGGAUAUCGUCGAAGAAGACUAGGACAAACUUGCGGGAGACGUCUUGAAAGACAUGGUUCAUGAGGCUUUGAAAUGUGCAAGGAGCAUUUGUCAAGCCGAAAGGCAUGACAAGGUAUUCAAAGUGCCCGUUGUGGGUUUUGAAGGCUGUCUUGUAGACGUCUGCUUCAGACAUUCGAAGUUGAUGAAAGCCGGCGCGCAGAUCAAGCUUCGUGAAGUACUUAGCUCCACCAAGUUCGUCCAGGAGGUCAUCAAGCAGAGGAAUAGGAUACUUGUCUUUUAUUGUCUGCUUGUUGAGGCCUCUGUAGUCCACGCAAAGUCUCCAGGUACCGUCUUUCUUCUUGACUAGUACUAUAGGAGAAGCGUAGGGGCUAGAGCUAUGCUGAAUGAUUCCUUGAGUCAUCAUCUCUUUGAUCAUCACGUCAAUAUUGUCCUUUUGCAGGGAAGAGUACCAGUAAGGUCUCAAGUUCAACGGGUUGGAGCCUGCAAGGAGAGGAAUUUGGUGAUCAAAGCCUUCGCGAAAAGGUGGGAGAGAUGAUGGUUCCUCGAAGAUGUCGGAGAAGGAAUCAAGGAGAUACAGCAGGUCAGGGUCGUCAGCGUUGGCUGUCGCGGUUGCUGAGAUGUGGGAAAAGAGUGACUCAGGGGUGAAGUUAUCAUCCUCAGUGUUCUCAGUAGUCACUUCUCGAAUCUGUAUCAGAGCGAUCUGCGGCUCUUGCAACAUCAGUUUGUUCAAGGUGGAACCUUUGAUGAGCUUGCCACCCGUCUUGACAACACCACGUAGUACAUGCUUAGUACCCAACAAGGAGAAUUCCAUUCUUAAGUUGAGGAAGUCCCAAAGAAUGGGUCCGAGGGUGCAGAGCCAUUGAACUCCCAACACAAAGUCACAGCAGUCGAAAGGGACUGUGCGGAUCUCAGUAGUGAAGGUUGAUCCUUGAACCGACCAUGUGAAAUCAGAGCACUUGUAUUUCGUGAUGAGAGUUCCACCUGUAGCGGCUUUGACUGACAUAGGUUUUGUUGACUCAAGCUUGCAACCAAUAUGGUUAGCAAUGUUGAUGUCAACAAAGUUGUGAGUGCUCCCCGGGUCGACCAGAAUGUGGAGCUUUGUCUUGCCAUAGUAGCCUAUCAACCUCAUGCAGUUGUAGGAUGUAGAGCCGUCUAAGGCGUUGAUAGAUAUGACAGGUGUGUCGUCGGUUUGCGCAACAGUUUGGUCAGGGGUUGCCACAACGUCAUCUUGCUCACUCUCUGAGGAGCUGUCAUCAUCCUCACAUUCCAUGACGAAGAUUUGGGACCGUUUGUGCUUAAGCUGAUGACCUGGUGUGAAAGUUUCAUCGCAAAACAUACAAAGGCCUUUGGAUCUCCUGUCUUGCAUCUCUUGGUAAGAGUAUUUGCGAGGAGGUUUAUCUGAGGCGUUACGGGGAAUGAAACCGGUUUUGGUGGUCGUUGAGGCAUCAGUGUUUUGUAGCAGGGGUGUGGAGUUGGGUGGUUUAGAGUAGCGUUGGUAAGGGGAAGGUGUGAAGGGGGCUUUUUGUGGUUUAGUGGGUGCGUGGGAAAGGGAGGAUUCAUGUAAAGCAGCGAUCUUAGCAGCACCAGAGAUGGUAGUGACCUCAAACUGUCGUGUGUGAAGUGACAGGUGAGGGUUCAUGUUAGCUAAGAAGAUGCUAAGGGCGUGGGCCUCAGGUAGGACAAGGCGCAUCCAAGCUGUCUCAAACUUGUCGCGGUAGUCAACAACGAAAUCAGACCCUUGUUUUAGUGCGACGAGCUCAGCUAGGGGGUCGUCAAACAACUCGCAGAAACGAGCAGAGAUGGCGAUAAUGUAGUCAGUCCAAGAAGGAAACAAGCCAAACCUAGUGGUCAUGUAGUUGGUGUGCCACUGGGUUGCUUUCCCUUUGAGAUGCAUCGCAGCCAGGCGAACUUUGAGUUCCUGCGGUGUGCCAUCAAUGUCGAAGAACUGCUCGCAUUUAGAAAGCCAGUCGCGGAGUUCGGUGCCGUCAAACGCCGGAAAGGAGAUCUUUGAGAGGCGAGAGGUUAAGCCACCGUAGUUUUGUCGAGGAGGGUGUGGAAAUGGGUCAGGGGGAUCUGGGAGGUGGUGGGAGCUGUGGGUGAAAGGUGUUGGUGGUGGGUUUUGGUCGAGGUUGUUGGGGAUGGGUGUCGGAGGGUGAGAAGGGCCAGGGUCCAUCGGGGCUUUUCCGGUGGCUUGAAUGGCGGAGAUGUGGUUGAAUAUCAUAGCUUCGAGUCGGUCGAAGCGUGAUUCAUGGAGUCGGAUUGGGUUUUGACUUCAGAGGCUAAGAGGUCAUGGAGAGAACGGAUCUCGUCGACUUGCUCUGUCAGUGACCGUUCCUGAAGUUGGGUUUCAACCAUCGUCGCAGGUCAGAGAAUCGAUGAAAUCUGAUACCAAUGGAACAGUAGAUAUCAGUAGGAUAGAUAAUCCACACUAGGAACUAACCGCUAGUUCUAAGUAUGGUGAAUGCUAGCCUAGAAGGAGAUUGUAGAUGAGAAUAAUCACCUCGAAGGUACUAGAUUCUUGAGAGAGAUAACACAGAGGGUUUUAAGGAUUUUGGAAAUGAUAUUAUUUCUGAUAACGUUCUUCUGCUACUGCAGGGGUACAAAUACUAAAUGACAAAGAGCAGCUAACGGUCUAACAAUGACCUGUCUCAACAGCUGGAAAGUUAAAGUAAAAACUAAAACAGAAAUGAGAUAAGCAUGUUGCUUGGAUAUUCCUUUGUGAUAAGGAUGUCAUGGAUGACUAAUCCUAUGACAGGCGGCGAUGGAUAUAGCUUUGGUAUGUUCUCAUUCGCUUGAAACGAGGCGAACAAGCUUCUCCCAGAACUCAACAACAUUCUCUCCGCUGCACCACCACCACCUCCUCGUCGAUCUAACGUGUCAAGACGUGAGAGUGUCACCGGCUGUCUCCGCCCCGUCGAUUGCGGCCGGUUUGUAGCCACAGAAGAAGAGGGAGUCGCCGGUCGAUUCGUUCUUGUGACGUUCGGUGAUUCACAUCUCUUAGCUGUCGAGAAAGGUGAUGACUGGAGUAAAGAAGAAGAAGAGGUUGGCUCCAGGUAUCGCGAAGCUACAUCUCGCCUUUGUGGGGGGGCGAUGAGCAACGGCGCUCGGCAAUUCCAACGGCGGUGGCCUCGUAGCUUUGCUCUGCUUAGGUCUGGCGUUGAAAGAAGGAGUCAUCUCCCACUAAGUUGCAUAAUGUGAGGAAGAUUUGUAUAGGGAAGAUUUUCUCAACGUGUAUAUGGAAAGGGAGUGGAUUAAGUAUAAAUCUCCGGCGAGUGUGGAAGGAGAUUAUUACGCCUGUUUCUGUGAGACGGCAUAACUGUCGUCGUCGUCGUCUCCUCCUCCUACCUCGCUUUUUGCCUUCCAUUUUUCGACUCUUUCUUUAACUUUUUUUUUUCGUUGAAACUAUUUACACUCAAUUAUGGACACUUGAUAUUCCAAAAAAAGAGGACCGU
rnacentral:lncRNA from 1 species